UCCCUGGUGGCUCAGAUGGUAAAGCAUCUGCCUGCAAUGUGGGAGACCUGGGUUCAAUUCCUGGGUUGGGAA
rnacentral:tRNA from 1 species